UACGGAGGAUGCGAGCGUUAUCCGGAUUUAUUAGGUUUAAAGGGUGUGUAGGCGGACGAUUAAGUCAGUGGUGAAAUCUCCCGGCUCAACCGGGAAACUGCCAUUGAUACUGGUUGUCUUGAGUGUAGUUGAAGUGGGCGGAAUGUGUAAUGUAGCGGUGAAAUGCUUAGAUAUUACACAGAACACCGAUUGCGAAGGCAGCUCACUAAGCUAUUACUGACGCUGAUGCACGAAAGCGUGGGGAGCGAACAGG
rnacentral:rRNA from 1 species